ACCAAGCACCACUUUAGCCCCUCAGUAUCAUGGCUUGAAAAUUGCCAUGUUGACUCUGAAGACAACAAAGAAUGUUUCUGCAGAGUCUGAAGACAACUAAUAGGUUGCCAUGUUAUCUGCAUCCAAUCCAGCAGAAGGGCCUGAUCCUGCUUUCACUGAAGUCAGCAUUUUUAUCAAGGACUUAGAGUAGGAUUGGGCCGUAAAUCUGUGAUCUUUCGGCAUACCCUGCGCAGACUCUUCACUUAGAGGUGAGAUACCAUUCAAAGAUGCUAGCGCUGGGUAGCCAUCAGUAUGGAGAUGCAGCAGCCUGUCCAGUCUGCGAAAAGAAGGACUCCACCCACAGAGCACUGUACCAGAACACUGAGAACAACACGCACAUCCAAGGAAACAAGAUAGCAGCAUUGCAUCAUGAGAACUGGCAUCAGCUCACUAAUAAUCUCAAGAGAAGAAUAUUGUCGUAAUAAACACGUGACACACCACACCAUAGGGUUGGUAAGAGACUGCACUUUCUUUCCCGGCUCCACUCACUUUACCUGGGCCAGCAUUACAAUGGGUAUAUUCAUAUCAGGAGUUAGUUUCCACUGACUCCAAGUACUUACUGUUACAGCUGUAACCAUUCCUGACAGUUGGCUAAUCUUUUGGUGUGCAUCAUGUAUUCUACAUCACUCUCCUUUCCCUGCUCUGAAAUUGCAGGUUUCGCUAAAGAUAAAAAAAAACAACAACAAAAAAACCCCCCCAUGAACAAUAAAAUAAAAUAUGGCUAUAGUUUUUCUUCUGUAAAUUUAGUCUGGCUGGAGGCUUCCUGAUCUGCUGAGUUCUGGUCAUUAACACAGUAAGGGCUAGAUUCACAAAGUACUUAGGUGCCUAACUGCUUCUUUAGGCACCUAAGUCCAACAUUAAGGCAUUAGUAGC